CUUCUGCAGGCGUUUUCUCCACCAAACCCUCAAACUCCGAUCGAGCCCAUGUCAAGCAAUGGUCAAUGUUGUGCGGGAAGGAGUGCACGGUGCACAUCGGAGCUUGUUUCUCAGGUGGGUCCCUAGAAGCACCGUAGUUUUCAGUUAGGUGAGGAAUGACCAUCUGAGUGUUGCAUUUGGCACCUAAGGUUCCAGACUCGAGAAGAGGCUUUUGGAAGUACAAGCACCUCUGAUCAACAUAAAGUCUCGCAUUGACAUUGUCCAAAGCAUUCACAACAGCGGUUAAGUUCUCCCAGAAGGUAUCAUCAAAGACAUUCUCUGUUUCAGAGCCAACACGAUUCUGCAGCGCUUCAAUCUUGAGAUGAGGAUUUAUUAAUGCAGCAGCUGAAGCAGCGACUGUGGAUUUGGCCUGUCCAAUAUUCCAGUCACGGAAGAGAAACUGCCUGCUCAAAUUACUCUUCUCUAUUACAUCAUCAUCAGUUAUUGUCAGCUUUCCUUGUUCACCACAUGAAACACCCAUCAGCGCUAAGUUCUUCAAGAAUUCACAGCCUAGGGCACCAGAUCCUACUACAAACAAAUUGGCACCCUCCAGUUUCUUCUGAAGAUUGGAUCCAAAAACAGAAAUUUGAGCAUCAUAACGGCUGUUUAAUGGCAUGAAUUCACUGGGAUCCAAAUUAGCUGUGGGAAGUGAUUCCACAGAAUCAAAAUAAAAGAACUGUGACAGCAGGAAAAGCAGGAUUAGCUUACACAACAAGAAACCUAAUUGCAUUGAUAACAGAAGACACUGAAGGACCCAGUUGUGUGCUACACACGAGAUUAAAUGAGUGGAACAGAGCUGCCUUAUUGAACCAGGAAGUGAUAUUAAUAGAUUAUUCUGAUUAAUAGAUGAAACUCAGCAGUAAAAGGCUCUUAUGAACAGCUAAAAUUUCAGGCCUAACAAUCUAAGUGCAUGAGUGGAUGCUUAUGCACAAAUGAGAACCCAUUGUGUGUUUAUGUCCAGACAAUUAUGGUUAAAAAAAGUUCUUGAAAGAGAGAGGGAGACAGAGGCUCCAAAAGGCUUUAGAGGUCUACCAAUACUCAACAAAUCUAGAGCUGGUACCCACCUGAAACAGGGGAUGAAACUUUCCAGAACAUGCUUUGACAACCUCUUGUCCCACAAUACCACCAAACAUAGCAGCCAUAGGAUUCAGUACAGCCCUGGCACCAAAGGCAAAAUGUCGCAGAAGUUUUGGAUUGAUGUCUUCAACCCUACCAUCUCCAGAGUUUUCAUUGAUGAGACUGGCAAGAGACACAAGCUUCUGAGCAUCCUCUUCUGAACCAGCAACAGGGAGGCGACCCAUCUCAGACACAAACUUGUCCAGAGCUUGAAAUGCCAAGUGUAGGAGAGGUGGGCGAUCAAACUUUGAGAAAUCACUCAAAAGAAAAUCACCAGGAUCUUUAAUCGCUUCCCUCAAAGUCUUAAAGUUCAACACCUUCGGCUCUUUUACCUGUGUAACAAUGCCACCUUUCUCAUAGAUACCAAAGUCAGAGGUGUCCUCCUCAAGAAAAAAUGAAUAUGCUCUGGCGUUUUUAAUCUUUCUAGGUUUUCCAUCAUUUAGUUCUGUCAUUCCCUUAACUUCGGAGAAAGCAACAAGAUCCCCAUCUUGAAACUCAAGCCUUUCAUCAUCAACGCAUGACACUAAUGCAGGGUUGUCAUUGCUGAUGGAUGCAACUAUGCCCGUGUGUGGUUCCUCUCCAUCAACAUCAAACACGGUGAAUUCAGGUCCAAAGUCACAAAAAAUGGAACCAAAAAGGCCUCUUACUUCAGCCUUGAUGAAAGAAAUAGGAGGCUUAUGAUCAUGGCAAUAGUCGUUGAACUCGAUGGCUUUCUCAAAAGUGACAUCAGUAAACACAACAGCCUGCAUCACCAGGGGAAAAAAGGUGGAUAUAAUAAAAUAUAUAUAAUGAUAAGGUAACGUGUUCAUGAACACAAAAGUGAGAGACAGCAUUGAAAUGCUCAACACACUAAAAAGCAAGCAUUUGUUUCCAUGAUAAUUUCCUUCCAUAUGAUACAGCAAUUCAGACUCAUUUCGCAAAAAAAAAAAUGAAAACAAUGAAAUCACAAUCUCUUGUUUAACUGUUUUUCAGAUAAAACUAGAGUUCACAGCAGAAAAUGCUGGAAGCAACAUGAUCCUAACAAAAACAAGCAUAAGUGAUUCCUUGAUUGUGUAGCUUUCUCCCAUCCUCUGCUUCAUGCUUUCAUGUAACUUUCUCCCAGAAAUUUCAUUUAGAAGAUAAAAUGUGGGUUCUCAAUCAUAAGUAAAGGAAGAGAAGCACACCACACUUACCAAAACAUUCAAGGAUACAAACCUGUUGAAAUUUCAUUAAAUUGAAAAUGUAUUCAUUAGAUGGCCUUUCUAGCAAUGUCGCAAGAUAACAUUGGGGGGACAUAGAAAAGGCUACUCCCAUAUCCUUCUAUUCACUCUUUGUAUUCUUCUUAAAUUUAACAGCUUUGGAGUUUCAUCUAGAUAAAGAAUGUUACUGAAGAAUCAAUUGUCUAGCCAUUGUCUCUUUACUUUCUCAACUUUUCUCUUCAGCCACUAGUGCUCAGCAUUUUAAGACUCUUAUUGGACCUUUACAUGAGAUUUUCAGCAGCAAUACAAUUUACAAGUCAGCCCACCAUACAGCUCACAAGGAGAAUUGAAUGAAGCUUAGGAUUUAGUAGCAUAUCACAGUUUCAGACGAUGUUUAACAUGACCCUAUAAAAGACCAGAUUCUUUCCCACGAAUCCUGGACAACCUAGUUAUAAGAAAUAUUACUUCAUAUUCCAAAAGCAGCAUUUCUAAAAUCAAUCGCAGCUCCCCGAGCUCCACAUCUGCUCCAGAAUAUUCAUAUGUGCCAGUAAAAUAAAAUCAAUACAGGCUCUACCAAAAAAUCAUGUACCUCAAUACUGUAAAUCCGAAUUAGCAUUAACAGCCAUAUUUGUAACUAAAUAAAACCAGUUGCUCACAAUGGAUUUGUUCAUGAUGUUGCACAUAUAAAUAUAAACAGGAGUAUUCCACAAAGUAUCCAUAUGAGAUUCUAUAGUAACUUUUGCAUUUGCUUUGCUUUUCAUAGAAAAAGCUUGUAAUCAUGAUAAGGUACCUACCACACAAAUAGGAGUGUAAUCAAGAAUAUCCAGCUCAAGAUGUUAUAAUUCACUUGUAGCAAAUGAAUCCUUCAAAUAAACUAAUCAAGAGAAAUCCACCGAGAAGGAAGUACCUGGAACUUGGAAAGAUGCUCUUUUGUCAAUUUUGUAGUUAAAGUAGAGAUGACCACUGCAUUGUUGAGUUCCUGCAACUUCUGAACAGAAGCAAGGGCUCUAUUAGUGCCAACAUCAUUUUCUGAGAAAACAAAGUUGCUGGAUAAAUCCCACAGCUCCACCACCCCUUCAUCAUGCAAUGUUACGGACUUGACACCAGCAAGAACAAGGUUUUUAGCUGCAGCAAGUAAAACAAAGCACACGCAUUAGAAAGAGAAACAUUUACAAAAACUUGACACCAACAGCAACAAGAGUUAAAGAAAAUUUAAAACAUUACAUUAUUUAAACACAUGCAAGGAUGUUAAAAAAAAAAGCUGCAGCAAAAAGAAAUCCAACUACAACAAACUGCCAAAAACAAGAUUAAUAAGCAGGCUUCCAUUCAACUGAUGUAGUUCGAAUUGAACAGGGAGAAAUUGAGAUAACUUAAGAAACAAAAAAGAAGAAGAAACGAAGACAAAUAGCUUGCGGAUAGCCCUCUCUUUCAUAAGCACAAAUUCAGCAUUCCAUUUCCAACGUUUCUUCAACAGAAAACAAAACAAUAAAUCCAUAAACAGCAACAAAAAUACCAAAUUAGCCUACAAGCUGCCUGACUCAUGAUCUUAAAGAGCUCACUAAUUAAACCAACACAAAUCAAGCUUAGAAGCAAAUAUCUAGCCACAGUAACUGAAAUCUGAUCACCUUUAACUACAGAGAAUUAAAAGUUCAAAAUCUAAUCAUCAUUUGCUCCCAAAAAUUCACCAUCAACAACAACAAAAUAAUCCACAACAAGAUCCAGAAAAUCACCGAAAAAAAUUAAACCAGAAAUUAAAAAAUAACAGGAUUAAGAAAAAUUACAAGAAACUGAAAAAUAAUUAAAGAACCAUACCAAUCUCAACACCAAGUCCUUGCAUCCCAGAAACGAGAACAUUAGAAGCAAAGAGCCUCCGCAUCGUCUCCCUACCGUAAACAGCAAGCUGCCGGCUAUGAAGAUCCUCAUCAAUCUCCGAUGGAUUUGAAUCACCAAGCGCCAUACUCACCUUCUCUUCAGCACCACCACUCUCUCUACUAAUAUCACUGCAAUUACCAAUAACGCUACUAGUUUUCUUAUUACUAUUGGCGGCGGUCGAUUCCAAAUAACAAUCGACCCGAUGCUUCUUAAAGACCGAUGACGAAUCUUUUGCUAUGUUGUUUUCACUUCCUUCUCCUUCUACCAACACAGCUUCAACUGGUAGCCUUUUAGGAAGCAUAAAGUACAGUAAACUGCCAAACAAGCCACAAAUCAUCACAAUCGAAAUCAAAGAUAAGCUGUUGUUAGCGAUUACAGUCGCAACAAAGAUCGGUACCGAAAUCAUAAACCCUAAUCCUAAACCUAACAUCAACAUGAUUGUAAGAUAAAGAAAUGGAUCAAUGGAUUCGUGAAGAUAGAGAAAGAAACAUACCGGUUAGGACUUAAUUAAGGAAAGAAUGGAAUCUAAGAGAGGAAGAAUGGAGAGGAAUCGAGAGAGAGAGAGUGAUUUGCUUUAUUGAGGAAGAAUAUUGAGUGAAGGGUAUUUGUGGAUUUGUGUGUUUUAGGGUUUAGGGGCAGGAGGGGUCAAGGGCUGUCCGGCUUUGGCAAGGUCGGGGUGCGUGUGGUACUGUCAUGAUUUUCUCUCUCUAUGUUGAAGAGAGAGAGGAGGUGUGUUUUGGUGUGAAGAGAGAGGGGAGUAAGAUAAGUCAGGUUGAGAGAAAGGUUGGUGUGUUCGUGUUGGGGAAUGACUGGUGAGAGGUAAAUUAUUUGAAUCGUGUGAUUUGGGGUUGAUGGUUUAGUCGUUGCCGUUUUAUUGGGGUUUUCGGGGGUGAUGAUGUCGUUUUCGUGGUUGUUUUGUUGUAUUUCGUUUGUAUGGGAUAGAAACUCUCGGCCGCGAAAUUAUGCUUACGGACACUUUUUAUUUGAAUUGAAGGAAUUGCAUGUAUUUAAGAUGUAAUGAAUUUCGAUAUAAAUAGCUAGCAAUUAACAUAAUUUCAUAGGUGAAUUUAUUUAAUUUUGAUGUGCAUGAACCGGAUUGACGGUGCCGCGAACAUGAAAUUAAAAAGAAAAUAAAAUAAAAGAUUAUUAGUAAAAUGCUUAGGUAUUAUCUUUAAUAGUGAUAUACUUGAAGCUUUUACAGUUCGUUUAUUUAAAAAGAAAAAAAGGAAAAGUGUAUUUGUACUCCUUUUCUUUUUCCUACUUCUUACGGCGGUAAAAGAAAUCCUAGUUCUAGAGACUAUCAAAGCAGAAUUUGUUACCCUCUCUCGACUCUGCUUUGGUAUUGUGUAAUAAAUAGAGUUGGCUAAAAUUUAUUUAUAUUUUUAUCAUUUAAAUAUAUUAAUAUAUAAAAAUAAAUUUUGCUAUAUUCUCGUUGUAACCCACCACAAGCCCCACUGGUCUAUUUCUGCGUGAAACUUCCAAAUAAGUGAAUUUUUAUCCCACACCAAACCCACUUCUUUCAUUGCAAUAAAGAAGAUAAAUGGCAAGGUGACUUUACAAUGACACCCUCGUAGACAUAAUCUUUGAAUAACAAUGGCAGCUUUUUUUUAUUGGAUAUUCUCAAUAUUUGAACUCAUGAUAUUAAGAAAAUGAACAGGCAUUUUUACCCAUCCACCAAACGCUAACAAACUAGACCAGCUACAAAAUUAACAGUAUUCCUUUCAUUUUUACAAGAUAGCAAAAGCAAAUUACUUUGAGUCGUAAUUAUACCUCAUUAUUUGUUACUAAUAUUAGAUUUUCAGGAGAAUAAUAUCAAUAAAUUAUAGCUCGAUACCCGCUCUCCAAAAAAAAAAUUCAGGUUGGGACCUCUUCUCUAUAGGAAAAGAAAGCUUAGGACACAAGUUACAUAUCUAACAUCGUCAUUUGAAAGCAUUUGAAUUCUAAUAUCUUUCAGUAUCCGCGGCGAGACCUAAAAUAAUCACCUUGCAACAUGCCCAUGUGUCCUGUCCAGGACAAGGAAGUUAACACGACAACUAAGGAAAAUUGCUUCUUCAAGUCCGUCUAGGACAAAAUCCUGUCUCUCUCACUAAACUUGCUUUCAAACUCUAAUGAACAAUAUCAUCAACUCAGCAGACCGGUUGCAUCCACGAUGUAAAUACCUCAGGUCGAUCUCUUUUAUCAAAGAAAAUUUUGUAGGGUCGAGAAUAACAGCACAUAUAUAGCCUGAGAACAGCACCAGAAAAUUUUCUCAUGGCAUUCUCGAGUUCCACAGCAUUCAGUAUUCAUAUAUCUUGAAAUAGAAGUUGCUAUUUGGUUUAUACUAUUGAAAUGUCAAACGGUUGUGUGAAAAAUAUCCAUAUUGUGUGCUCACAGAUGCAGCAGCAUUGAAAUGAAAUCUAACUGUUAAUGGGACUCCACCCCUCGUCCAGCAAUCUCAAGACUGACUUACUGAUUGGGGAAACGGACAAAGAUAACCUAACUGAAGUAAAUAGAUACAGGAGGAAUGUCAACAUCAUUGCCUUCAUCAUCCUCGCAUGCCACAACGACAUCAAAGUGGCGACGAUAUGCAGGCAACUCUACUUUAGCCACUUCCCUCACCAGAUCAACCACCUUCCUGUCCAUUCUGUCUCUAUGCCGAGGGAACAUGCUAUUGUAAAGCAGGCAACUACCAUGUGAAAUGCUAUAGGCAUCAAGACCCUUAUCCUUGAGCCAUUGCAUAAGUUCCCUCAAGGUAGGAUUGUUUUUUAGGAUCCACCUGUCCCAAACUGUCCAGCUCAUAUCCUGAUGCUUGAUAACCUUGGGUGGGACAGGCUCGGCCAUGGAGAACAGAGGAAGUGCAAGGUUGGCAAAUGUAUUGCGGUAGUCCUCCACUUUGUGUCCACCAUCCAGAACCUUAUACAGCUCCAAGCACACAAGACCAGUAGCCAUAGCUGUGGAGGUUGCUAUAGCAGGGAUGAUCCUUCCAGCAAUAAACUUGGCUUUCAGCUUGUCAACCUCAGGAAUGCUGUAGUUUCUUGCUCUCAUGUUGGCGAGACCAGCUAUCAGAUCCAUGUGGUAGUUUGUAUCAUCAUCCUGCACAAUCAAGGAAGUUAACUUAAAUUUCGGUUGGCUCAUGAAUAUUGAAUGGCUGAUAAAAGUGACUCCCCUUAUAUUUUGGCCACAUAUUUUCUUUUUUAAAGUAUUUCUAUCUACAUCAUGAAGCAAACACUACCCUUGAUCAAUUAAUGCAAAUAUUUCAAAAUUUUCAGCCAAGUUAAUAAGAAAAAAUGUUGGAUAACAUCUUGAUUCAACAGCAGGAUGGCCCAAAAAAUGCAUGCUAAAUAAAUUGAACAAGAGAUAUCACCUUCUCAAAUUGAAUUGGCGUCAUCCUGAACCCAAGUGGCAGCUUCUGCCUACACUGCUCUAAUUUUUUGAUAAGUUCAUUGAUUACCGCUGCAUCAUCUACAGAUGCAGAAGACAGGGUGGUAGCCUUCUCGUCUGUCUCAAUUUUCGCGUCUUCUCUUGGCUGAAAUUCUGGCACUACCACCUUCUCCACAGCCUCAGCCAACAUCUUAGGAUGCUUCGCCCACUCAGGAACUGAGAUCCCAAAAGUCUCUGCUCGCAAUAUUGAUGCUGCCAUGACAAAAUGGAGGUGACUUGGAUCUACAACUGAGAACUGAAGUGGAUGGGGGAAUCGCUUGGGGGCAGACCAGAAUGGAGCACCAGUACUAGUUGAUGCAUCCUCAGGGAAAGUGAAAAUCAACUGCUUCACCCGAUCAGCAAAAUAAUCUUCAAACCUGAAGACAAAGUGAGCAUAAAGUCAAGAAACAGAACAAGGUAUGUCCUAUCAUACAGAGAAUUGGAAACCCAAUCAAGGAGAGCACCUUAAACGAGCCCAUGUAAUGCAAUCCUGGAAUGUCUCACAUUUUUCCUUCUCAAGGCACUCAAGAACAUGUUCCAGAGUGUCCCUUGACUGAGCAUCACCAGCUUUGUUCAUAGCAUUAGUAUAUUCAACUGGAUUUGAUAAAUAGGCAUUCACUUCUGCUGGGGUUUUCUCCACCAAACCCUCGAACUCGGAUCGAGCCCAUGUCAAGCAAUGGUCAAUGUUAUGUGGGAAUGAAUGCACAGUGCACAUAGGUGCUUGUUUCUCAGGUGGGUCCCUUGAAGCGCCAUAAUUUUCAGUCAGGUGAGGAAUGACCAUCUGAGUGUUGCAUUUGGCACCUAAGGUUCCAGACUCGAGAAGAGGCUUUUGGAAGUACAAGCACCUCUGAUCAACAUAAAGUCUCGCAUUGACAUUGUCCAAAGCAUUCACAACAGCAGUUAAGUUCUCCCAGAAGGUAUCAUCAAAGACAUUCUCUGUUUCAGAGCCAACACGAUUCUGCAGCGCUUCAAUCUUGAGAUGAGGAUUUAUUAAUGCAGCAGCAGAAGCUGCAACAGUGGAUUUCGCCUGUCCAAUGUUCCAAUCACGGAAGAGAAACUGCCUGCUCAAGUUACUCUUCUCUAUCACAUCAUCAUCAGUUAUUGUCAGCUUC
rnacentral:lncRNA from 1 species